GAGCGAAGCCUUGGUCUCGGCGAAGGCCCAGUCGAUCCACUGCGUCAGAAUGUCGACGUCCCUGGCCUCAACCGUCGCGCCGCACCAGAUGCGAAGGCCGGCCGGAGCAUCGCGGUAAUGCGCGAAGUCGUAACCAGCGCCUUCCUUCUCCACCGCAGCCACCAACUUCUUGGCGAAGUCAGCCUGCGCGUCGGCGGACAGCGCCGUGAUCGCCGGAUCGACGACCUUCAGGCA
rnacentral:misc_RNA from 1 species